rnacentral:rRNA from 1 species
UCUGGUCUUGGGACACUGUCAGGUGGGCAGUUUGACUGGGGCGGUCGCCUCCCAAAAGGUAACGGAGGCGCUCAAAGGUUCUCUCAGUACGGUCGGAAAUCGUACGUAGAGUGUAAAGGCAAAAGAGAGCUUGAUUGCAAGACAUACAGGUCGAGCAAGGAUGAAAAUCGGACUUAGUGAUCCGGUGGUUCUGCGUGGAAGGGCCAUCGCUCAACGGAUAAAAGCUACCCUGGGGAUAACAGGCUUAUCUCCCCCAAGAGUCCACAUCGACGGGGAGGUUUGGCACCUCGAUGUCGGCUCAUCACAUCCUGGGGCUGUAGUAGGUCCCAAGGGUUGGGCUGUUCGCCCAUUAAAGUGGUACGCGAGCUGGGUUCAGCACGUCGUGAGACAGUUCGGUCCCUAUCCGUCGCAGGCGUAGGAAAUUUGAGAAGACCUGUCCUUAGUCCGGGGGGACCGGACUGGACGUCCCUCGGGAGUACCAGUGGUCCUGCCAAGGGCAUGGCUGGGUAGCUAUGUACGGAAAGGAUAAGCUCUGAAAGCAUCUAAGCGCGAUGCCAACUUCAAGAUAACAUUUCCUACCGCAAGGGUAAGACCCCAGAAAGGAUAUCUGGUUGAUAGGUCGAAGGUGUAAGUGCAGCAAUGUAUUUAGCUUAUCGAUACUAAUAGGGCGAGGACUUGACCAA